UCUCAUUUUGAGGAUUCCCAGUCUCAAAAUGAGGUUUCCUUCUUGGACAUAUAGCUUCGCUCCUUCCUCGAAUUGAAACGUCUUAAUAAUAUAUUGCAUGCGUGAUGAUGGAGGAGGAGAUGUCGAGAGAGUCCACAAGAAAAUCAUAGGAUCGGUGACCCUGAAAUUAUGGUGGUGGACCAUUUAAUGAUGAGAUGACUUUCCGGAUUAUUAUAGAGUUUGCUUUGCUGAUUGUGCAUGGACGAAGGAUGAUAAGUUUGCUCUGUCGAACUGUGGGAUCAGAAAAGAAGAUGAUAGAGGCAAUAAAUCAUCGAAGAAGUUUAUCCGCUUUACACGCAAAAUGUAAAACUUUGAUAUAAGCUAUAGAGUGAAUGAACACCCUAAAUUAUUCAGAAGUCGUUUUCGCAACAGAAUGUUCUCAAUUAGUAAAGAUGAUAUCCUUAUAAGAAGAAUUGCCAGCUUUUGCUACA